UACGUAGGGGGCAAGCGUUGUCCGGAAUCAUUGGGCGUAAAGGGCGCGUAGGUGGCCCGGUCAGUCAGUGGUGAAAGCGCGGGGCUCAACUCCGCGUCGGCCAUUGAUACUGCUGGGCUUGAGCACUGUAGAGGCAGGCGGAAUUCCGGGUGUAGCGGUGGAAUGCGUAGAGAUCCGGAAGAACACCGGUGGCGAAGGCGGCCUGCUGGGCAGUAGCUGACACUGAGGCGCGACAGCGUGGGGAGCAAACAGG
rnacentral:rRNA from 1 species